rnacentral:tRNA from 1 species
GCCUCGGUAGCUCAGACUGGUAGAGCACCUGUCUCGUACGCUCAGCAUAUUGGGCUGUGAAAACAGGGGGUCGAGGGUUCAAAUCCCUCUCGAGGCU